GAUCCAGUCUCCGAAUUGUCACCGUAUGGUGUGCGUUUCUUGGAUUCCCUAGAAUAGGAGCUAGAUCGUUU
rnacentral:ncRNA from 1 species